rnacentral:rRNA from 1 species
GACGAACGCUGGCGGCGUGCUUAACACAUGCAAGUCGAACGGUAAGGCCCUUCGGGGUACACGAGUGGCGAACGGGUGAGUAACACGUGGGUGAUCUGCCCUGCACUUCGGGAUAAGCCUGGGAAACUGGGUCUAAUACCGGAUAGGACCACUGCCUGCAUGGGUGGUGGUGGAAAGCGUUUGCGGUGUGGGAUGGGCCCGCGGCCUAUCAGCUUGUUGGUGGGGUGAUGGCCUACCAAGGCGACGACGGGUAGCCGGCCUGUGAGGGUGACCGGGCGCACUGGGACUGAGAUACGGCCCAGACUCCUACGGGAGGCAGCAGUGGGGAAUAUUGAACAAUGGGCGCAGGCCUGAUGCAGCGUCGCCGCGUGAGGGAUGACGGCCUUCGGGUUAUAAACCUCUUUCAGCACCGACGAAGCGCAAGUGACGGUAGGUGCAGAAGAAGGACCGGCCAACUACGUGCCAGCCGCCGCCGUAAUAC